GGACAAUCAAUGAGGUAAUUGUCUGUGAAGGUGACAAUGCCUGUUUAUCUUUCUGUGGUAGAAUGGUGUGUUGUUGUAGCUUCUUUCAAUGUGGACCUCAUUUUCAUAGGACUUGCCAUUAUUCUGUUGAUUGUUGUGGUUACUGGAUACUUUAUUGACGAUUCAAUAAUCUCUUAUUCACUGUAUGGUCCAAUGUUCUUGAUCUUUUCGAGUUUGUGUUCUACCUCUCUAUCGUUUUUAACUAUUUUUGGGCCUCUUUUGUGAUUUUGACUGUAGCUUUGUUUUCCACCCGUUUCAUGUUCUGAAAAAGAAAAAAGAGGUUUUCUUUUGGGUGACUUUUGCUACUUCUUGAGCUUUUAGUAGUUGUUGUUCUUGCUUCCUUCAUAUCUCUAGCUUCCUAGACCUGUCAUUUUCCUUGAGUCAGUAACAGAUUGUGUUCAGAACAAGAAAUGUGCCUGAAUGUUUAAAGCUAAAUGUGUAGGUUUGUUUGCCUGAAUAAUUCCCAAAUUCAUAUCAACCUAUUUUUUACAAACAACGACAUGUUUUAGUUACAUCUCACUUUUUGCCUAGUACUCAUGGAAACAAAUUCGAAGGCAUAACUCAUAUAGAACUAGUCAGGUUAAUGUUGGAUACCUGUAUCUCUCUUAAACUACUCAUAACUGUAUCACACUUCAGUUACAUUUCACUUUCUUCCUUCUAUAUAUGUACUUGAUAUGUGCUUCAGUGUUGCCAGUCUUGAUAGAUUGAAUCCGUGAGCUUCAACUUCAUACUUGGAUGGCACAUCUUCAUAAUCUCUUAUAAUCGAUUUGGAAGCUAAGGAUUAUGAUUUUUGUUUUAGUGUACAGUGGCACUAGUAACGACACCACUAGAUGAGCAUUUCUA
rnacentral:lncRNA from 1 species